UACGAAGGGGGCGAGCGUUGUUCGGAAUUACUGGGCGUAAAGGGCGCGUAGGCGGCGACUCAAGUUAGAUGUGAAAGUCCUGGGCUUAACCUGGGGACUGCAUUUGAUACUGGGUUGCUUGAAUUCGGGAGAGGAUAGCGGAAUUCCCAGUGUAGAGGUGAAAUUCGUAGAUAUUCGCAAGAACACCAGUGGCGAAGGCGGCUCACUGGCCCGAUACUGACGCUGAGGCACGAAAGCGUGGGGAGCAAAC
rnacentral:rRNA from 1 species